GCAUUUCUCCCCGAGAUGGCGGGUCUGACGGCGGCGGCCCCACGGCCCGGAGUCCUCCUGCUCCUGCUGUCCAUCCUCCACCCCUCUCGGCCUGGAGGGGUCCCUGGGGCCAUUCCUGGUGGAGUUCCUGGAGGAGUCUUUUAUCCAGGGGCUGGUCUCGGAGCCCUUGGAGGAGGAGCACUGGCGCCUGGAGUCAAACCUCUUAAGCCAGUUCCCGGAGGGCUUGUGGGUGCUGGCCUUGGGGCAGGGCUCGGCGCCUUCCCCGCAGUUACCUUUCCGGGGGCUCUGGUGCCUGGUGGAGUGGCUGACGCUGCUGCAGCCUAUAAAGCUGCUAAGGCUGGCGCUGGGCUUGGUGGUGUCCCAGGAGUUGGUGGCUUAGGAGUGUCUGCAGGUGCGGUGGUUCCUCAGCCUGGAGCCGGAGUGAAGCCUGGGAAAGUGCCGGGUCAGUGCGGAAUCCCUGGGGCUGGAGGACAGAGGGCAGGGAGGGGCAGAGGGCAGGGAGGAACAGAGCCCUCUCCACGCCACUGCACUUGGGGAGGAAGGGCAGGGCCUGGCUUC
rnacentral:sRNA from 1 species